rnacentral:rRNA from 1 species
GCAACGCGAAGGACCUUACCAGGGUUUGACAUGUUACGAAGUAGGAAACCUCGAAAGAGGGACGACCUGUAGUCCAAGUCAGGAGCUAACACAGGUGCUGCAUGGCUGUCGUCAGCUCGUGCCGUGAGGUGUUAGGUUAAGUCCUGCAACGAGCGCAACCCUCGUCGCUAGUUAAUUUCUCUAGCGAGACUGCCCGUAUAACGUGGAGGAAGGUGGGGAUGACGUCAAGUCAGCAUGGCCCUUACACCCUGGGCGACACACACGCUACAAUGGGUGGUACAGCGGGUUGCUAAGGAGCAAUCCGGAGCUAAUCCCUGAAAACCAUCCUCAGUUCAGAUUGCAGGCUGAAACUGCCUGCAUGAAGUAGGAGUUGCUAGUAACCGCGGGUCAGCACACCGCGGUGAAUACGUUCUCGGGCCUU